CUCCAGACUCCUACGGGAGGCAGCAGUGGGGGAUAUUGCACAAUGGGGGAAACCCUGAUGCAGCGACGCCGCGUGGGCGAAGAAGUAUUUCGGUAUGUAAAGCCCUAUCAGCAGGGAAGAAGAAAUGACGGUACCUGAGUAAGAAGCCCUGGCUAACUACGUGCCAGCAGCCGCGGUAAUACGUAGGGGGCAAGCGUUAUCCGGAUUCACUGGGUGUAAAGGGAGCGUAGACGGCCAUGCAAGCCUGGAGUGAAAGCCCGGGGCCCAACCCCGGGACUGCUCUGGGAACUGUGCGGCUGGAGUGCGGGAGGGGCAGGCGGAAUUCCUGGUGUAGCGGUGAAAUGCGUAGAUAUCAGGAGGAACACCGGCGGCGAAGGCGGCCUGCUGGACCGCGACUGACGUUGAGGCUCGAAAGCGUGGGGAGCAAACAGGAUUAGAUACCCCCGUA
rnacentral:rRNA from 1 species